rnacentral:rRNA from 1 species
UACGAAGGGGGCUAGCGUUGCUCGGAAUUACUGGGCGUAAAGGCGCGUAGGCGGCCUGUUAAGUCGAACGUGAAAUCCCCGGGCUCAACCCGGGAACUGCGUCCGAUACUGGCAGGCUUGAAUCCGGGAGAGGGAUGCGGAAUUCCAGGUGUAGCGGUGAAAUGCGUAGAUAUCUGGAGGAACACCGGUGGCGAAGGCGGCAUCCUGGACGGUAUUGACGCCUGAGGCGCGAAGCCAGGGAGCAAACGGG